ensembl:lncRNA
UCUGCUCCUAAAUUUUAGGGACUGGGGUCUCCACAAAGUCCAAGCAGAGGCAAGUCAUGCUUUCCUGGAUUAGCCCAAGGGAAUUCCUGCCCCUGAGCACCUCCUGUGCAACUAGUCCUGUUCCAGGGGCGUGGGGAGGAUCUCCGAGGCCAGUGCUUCCCACUUGGGUUUUUGUUGCAGUAGGAAGCACUGUGUGAACGAUGGUGCCUACAAAUUCACCUUUGGGAGCGGGACAAGGCUCCUUGUGAUGCCCAAUGUUAUUCCAUCUCCUUCAGUCUAUAGGCUGACCUCUAAAGAUGAUGAGAGUUUGGAAAUGUGCCUUAUCACAGAUUACUCCCCUGGAAACCUUACAUCUAAGAUGAAUAAAACGAAGACAGAUGCCGUUGUGGAGGUGGUAACAUCUGAGAACAAACAGGAAGCAAGCUACGUGUCAACCUACUGGACCAAGAAAAAUGAAACGCAGUGUGGCGCAAAGCACGACGGGUUUGGAGAGCUGGAAGGCGAGGAUCCUGAAAGUGGUGCCAGCACUGUCUGUGUAACAGGGGUGUCUCAACACUUCAGGACAGAUGAGAAGCUGAACCUGCUGUCAUUCUCACAACUGGGCCUGAAAAUAAUUUUAAUGAAAGGAAUAAUUUUUAAUGUACUAAUGACAAUGCUUAUGUGGAAAAAAAAGAAUGAAAGUAACCAGAGAGCACAGACUUGAAGUACCAAAAAAAUUUGCUGAGAUUGCUUUGCCGUAGCAUCACGUGCAAGAAGGAACAAAUGAAUUUCUGUUGCAACAGAUAACACUUGCUGUUUCUGUAUAUCAUGCCAGCCAUUAUAUGCUAAGUUGCUUUAUUUGCAUUAUUACAAAGCUACUCAAAAAUAAGCUUAAACUCUCGGAAUUCUGCUCUCCUACAUACCUGAAUCAUUUAGCAUGUCAAUUUUUCAUGAAGCACAGAUUGCUAUUAAUUAUAGAUUGUCAAACAUCCCUUCUACUUGCACUAAAAUGACCUGUACAAUUUCUGCUUGGGGGAGCGUUGUUGAAAGCUGCAAGCUAAAUAUCUCUUGAGUGUGAAUAUUUCAUAUUUUGACAGCUUUCACAUAUGCAUAUCUUAGAGAGGACACUUCCUGCCCUGCCCUGCCACCCCUAUUUCAGUUGCGAAUGAAAAAUUUUGAAAAACAAAGGAAGUCUCAUUCAGGGUGCUGUGCAUCGUGUCUUGCUGUCUUUUGCUAGAUAGGAGCAGGGUAUCUUUUUUUCCCUAAAAGAUAUGCUGCUAAAUCUCCAGAAGUACUGAACUUAGUGCAAUUCUCACUUCAUUAUCAUAGAAGAAAAAAAAUGCUCUUUAAUAUUUUUUUAAUCUAUUCUUCCUUAACAUUUCCUGAAUUUCCACCAGCUUAAUAUUUGGCUUUGCGUUUACUACAAAUACAAACUACUUCUGUUCUUUUUGUUUAGGUCUAACAACCUUAGAUUUCCUAAUAAGUUUUUCUUUUUUUUUAACCAUGAUAUAAAACAAUACUGAAAUACUUAUCUCUUUUUGUGUGUGUGCUCCUUAAAAAUAGUGCAUUCAUGUGAAAUUUGCAUGCUGCUAAGUCUUGAAUUGUACUGCCAAUCACUCUGAUGUACUGACUUUUCUUCAAGCCUUUGGCAACUGUUAAACAAUUCUUAUCAAUAAUAAUAAACUUACUUGUCUUUUGUAUAUUUAGCUUGAG